GAUGAACGCUAGCGACAGGCUUAACACAUGCAAGUCGAGGGGUAGCAGGGGAGUAGCAAUACUCCCGCUGGCGACCGGCGCACGGGUGAGUAACACGUAUGCAACCUGCCCUUGUCAGGGGGAUAAGCGGAAGAAAUUCCGUCUAAUACCGCAUAACGCUGCGGGGAGACAUCUCCCUGCAGCCAAAGAUUUAUCGGACAAGGAUGGGCAUGCGGCGCAUUAGCUUGUUGGCGGGGUAACGGCCCACCAAGGCGACGAUGCGUAGGGGUUCUGAGAGGAAGGUCCCCCACACUGGUACUGAGACACGGACCAGACUCCUACGGGAGGCAGCAGUGAGGAAUAUUGGUCAAUGGCCGGGAGGCUGAACCAGCCAAGUCGCGUGAGGGAAGACGGUCCUAUGGAUUGUAAACCUCUUUUGUCAGGGAGCAAAAACUGCCACGCGUGGCAGGAUGAGAGUACCUGAAGAAAAAGCAUCGGCUAACUCCGUGCCAGCAGCCGCGGUAAUACGGAGGAUGCGAGCGUUAUCCGGAUUUAUUGGGUUUAAAGGGUGCGUAGGCGGACAGUUAAGUCAGCGGUAAAAUUGAGAGGCUCAACCUCUUCCCGCCGUUGAAACUGAUUGUCUUGAGUGGGCGAGAAGUAUGCGGAAUGCGUGGUGUAGCGGUGAAAUGCAUAGAUAUCACGCAGAACUCCGAUUGCGAAGGCAGCAUACCGGCGCCCAACUGACGCUGAAGCACGAAAGCGUGGGUAUCGAACAGGAUUAGAUACCCUGGUAGUCCACGCAGUAAACGAUGAAUACUAAUUGUUCGGGUCGAGUGAGAUCUGAGUGAUACAGCGAAAGCGUUAAGUAUUCCACCUGGGGAGUACGCCGGCAACGGUGAAACUCAAAGGAAUUGACGGGGGCCCGCACAAGCGGAGGAACAUGUGGUUUAAUUCGAUGAUACGCGAGGAACCUUACCCGGGCUCAAACGACACAGGAAUGAUCUGAGAAAUCAGGCAGUCCUUCGGGACCUGUGUCGAGGUGCUGCAUGGUUGUCGUCAGCUCGUGCCGUGAGGUGUCGGCUUAAGUGCCAUAACGAGCGCAACCCCCAUCGACAGUUGCCAGCAGGUCAAGCUGGGCACUCUGUCGAGACUGCCGGCGCAAGCUGUGAGGAAGGCGGGGAUGACGUCAAAUCAGCACGGCCCUUACGUCCGGGGCGACACACGUGUUACAAUGGCAGGUACAGCGGGAAGCCACCUGGCGACAGGGAGCGGAACCCGAAAGCCUGUCUCAGUUCGGAUUGGAGUCUGCAACUCGACUCCAUGAAGCUGGAUUCGCUGGUAAUCGCGCAUCAGCCACGGCGCGGUGAAUACGUUCCCGGGCCU
rnacentral:rRNA from 1 species